rnacentral:rRNA from 1 species
UACGAAGGGGGCUAGCGUUGUUCGGAAUCACUGGGCGUAAAGCGCACGCAGGCGGAUUGAUAAGUCAGGGGUGAAAUGCCGAGGCUCAACCUCGGAACUGCCUUUGAUACUGGCAAUCUUGAGUCCGGGAGAGGUGAGUGGAACUCCUAGUGUAGAGGUGAAAUUCGUAGAUAUUCGCAAGAACACCAGUGGCGAAGGCGGCUCACUGGCCCGGUACUGACGCUGAGGCACGAAAGCGUGGGGGAGCAAACAGG